AGGAACCUGCCUUCCAGAGGGGGACAACAGUUGGAAACGACGUGCUAAUACCGCAUGAUGCAUUGAAGUCGCAUGGCUUUGAUGUCAAAGAUUUAUCGCUGGAAGAUGGCCUCGCGUCUGAUUAGCUAGUUGGUGAGGUAACGGCCCACCAAGGCGACGAUCAGUAGCCGGACUGAGAGGUUGGCCGGCCACAUUGGGACUGAGAUACGGCCCAGACUCCUACGGGAGGCAGCAG
rnacentral:rRNA from 1 species